rnacentral:rRNA from 1 species
UACCAGCACCCCGAGUGGUCGGGACGAUUAUUGGGCCUAAAGCAUCCGUAGCCGGUUUUACAAGUCCUCCGUUAAAUCCAACUGCUUAACAGAUGGGCCGCGGAGGAUACUAUAAGACUAGGAGGCAGGAGAGGCAAGCGGUACUCAGUGGGUAGGGGUAAAAUCCGUUGAUCCAUUGAAGACCACCAGUGGCGAAGGCGGCUUGCCAGAAUGCGCUCGACGGUGAGGGAUGAAAGCUGGGGGGGCAAACCGG